GAUGAAGAACGUAGCGAAAUGCGAUAAGUAAUGUGAAUUGCAGAAUUCAGUGAAUCAUCGAAUCUUUGAACGCACCUUGCGCCCUUUGGCUAUUCCAAAGGGCAUGCCUGUUUGAGUAUCGUGAACACCUCAACUCUCAUGGUUUGCCAUGAUGAGCUUGGACUUUGGGGGUUUUGCUGGCCUUUGGUCGGCUCCUCUCAAACGGAUCAGCUUUCCAGUGUUUGGUGGCGUCACGGGUGUGAUAACUAUCUACGCCUGUGGUUUUCUGCCAGAUAACCUUCAGCGAUGGAGGUUCGCUGGGGCUCAUAAAUGUCUCUCUUCAGUGGAGACAGCUUUUUGGACGUUUGAUCUCAAAUCAGGUAGGACUACCCGCUGAACUUAAGCAUAUCAAUAAGCGGAGGA
rnacentral:misc_RNA from 1 species